UUUUUUUUUUUUUUUUGGCCACCCACAUGACAUGUGGAAGUUCCUGGGCCAAGAAUUGAAUGUGUGCUACAGCAGUGACAAUGCCAGAUCUUUAACCUGCUAGCCACCAGGGAACUCCCCUCCAUAAAGGUGUUUUUUUUUUUUUUUUGUCUUUUUGCUAUUUCUUUGCAUAUGGAGGUUCCCAGGCUAUGGGUCGAAUCGGAGCUGUAGCUGCCAGCCUACGCCAGAGCCACAGCAGUUCGGGAUCCGAGCCGAGUCUGCAACCUGCACCACAGCUCACAGCAACGCCGGAUCGUUAACCCACUGAACAAGGCCAGGGACCGAACCCGCAACCUCAUGGUUCCUAGUCGGAUUCAUUAACCACUGUGCCACGACGGGAACUCCCAUAAAGGUUUUUGUAAUCUUUAAGGAGAAAGUUAUCGUCCUCCUUUGGAGAGUUUUCUUCCUCCUUUGAACUCAGAGCAAUAUUACAUUUACCCUUCUCCCAGGGUGUGUGUCUUUGAUGUUUUUACAUAUUUUUAAUGUGCUCAGAAACUAAUGCCUUCUGGGCAGAGACCACAUCAGAUCUCUUUGCAUCCUCCAUCCUGCUUUAUAUACAUUAGGCAUUUAAUGUAUCUGUUAAUUUAAGAGUUGCCUGUUACGAAAAUGGUUCCCAGAGAUUAAUUCAGGACUACUGCUUUGAUUGCAUAGGAUUGCAAGGGAUGGAUCACUUUAUAUUCACUGGAUCCAAACCCUGCCAUUUUUUUUUUUUCAAAUACUAUCAUUUUAAGUCAGACAAUAAGCAGCUGCCUCUUAGAUCACAGCUAUGGUGGAGUGUCUGAUGCCUCAGCCAGUCAACAUCCAGCCCCCAUAUAGGGGGCUUUGCACUCUUUCAUCUUAGGUAUUCCCUAUCCUGCUCCUAUGGAAAAUCAAGGCAACCAACAAUGGGGAACCCUACUUGGAAGCAAUAAGGCAUUUGAAAAGUGUAAGUUACUGCAUGCAGUCAUCUGAUGCUUUUUACAGAGCUAGACACUGAACCUACAUGUGAUUACCUAACACUUGUAAUCUGGUAUUCAAAUGCCCUCAGUGCCCUGCUCCUAAAUUUCCUUUUGUUUUUUUGUCUUUUUGUCUUUAGGGCCGCACCCACAGCAUAUGGAUGUUCCCAGCCUCAGGGCUGAAUUGGAGCUGUAGCCCCCGGCCUACACACAACCACAGCAACAUGGGAUCUGAGCCACAUCUGCAACAGCCCACAGCUCAAGGCAAUGCCAGAUCCUUAACCCACUGAGCAAGGCCAGGGAUCUCUACAUCCUCAUGGAUACUAGUCAGAUUCAUUUCCACUGAGCCACGAUGGGAACUCCCUAAACUUCCUUUCUAAUGAUAGGCCUACUAAUCCCACACCAGAAAGCCAUGACUGUGCAAAGAACUACUAAUAUUUUACAGUUUACUCCAGAGGGAAUUAAUCCCCUGUCUUCUAUUUCCAAUCCAACUGGUCCCUUCCAGCUCCCUCUUCCCUUUGGCUAAAAGUAAAUUCUCCAUUUUCUGAACUCUGCCACUCCCUUAUGGCACCAAAUCUCUUUAAAUCUUGCAUUAGGGUUAUUUACAUCUUUUUAUUUUUUUUUUAAAAGAGAGAUUUGUUUAUUUGGCUAUACUUAAAGCAUGUGGAAAUUCCCAGGCCAGUGAUCAAACCCGUGCUACAGCAGUGGAAUGAGCCACUGUAGUGACAACGACGGAUCCUUAACCUGCUGCACCACAAGGGAACUCUAAUACAGUUAUUUACGUCUUAUUUUCCCUGCUGUAACAAGCAUAGUGAAGGCAGGGUUUCUGAUUUGCUUUUUACCUUGAACAGCAAGCUUACAAGUAAGAGGCAAAGAACCUGUUGAUUGGUCCAGGUCCCUACCCUCUCUCUCGUUUGGGCUUUGGCAAAAGCCUUCUAACUGUUCCUGGGAUUCCACUCUCUCUCCUAUCCUUAUCCUUGUGAAACACAUCAGCUUGAGUCAGUCCCUCAGUCAAAGCCCUUUAGACAUUCACAUCCUCACCACACCAUCUGCCUAACUUUGCUGCUGUCACACUGGCCUUCUUGCUUUCCGUCUAUUCUGCUAACCACCUCCUGCCUCGAAUGCCUUGCAUGUGAUGUUUUUUCAGGGUAGAACAGUGGCUAUUAGUAGACUAUGGUCUAGGAUACUAGGUACUAUCUUCUCUCAUAGGGAUCCUUUUGGCCACUCUCUAGCAACCUUGUGUCAAUCCUGAAACCAGAGUGCUGGGUUUGAAAAGUUGGCUUUACCACCUACUGGGUGUGUAUGAUUUAGGGUAAAUUCAUUACACUUUUUCUUGCUAGUUUCCUCAUCGGUAAAAUGGGAGUAAUAAUUAGACGUUUGAUUGUUUAGAACAGUGCCCACCUGAUACACAGCAAGGGUUCAAUAAGUUAUUGCUUUUCCUCACAGUACAAUCACAACCUGGCAUUUUUACUUUUUAGUCUGUCUCCUCCACUUGAAAGUAUAAACUCCUUUAGAGCAGGGCUGCUUUAUUGGUAAUUUUAUCCCUAGUUCCUAGAGCCACUGUCCUAGCAUAAAGAACUUCAAUGAAUGUCGUGGAGUAUGAAUGGAUUUAUUCAGUGUUUAAAAAACCAUAAAUCCACUACUGAAUUGUAUUAUUUUCUUUUCUUUUUUUUUAAAAAAAUAAGUUUGUUUGUUUAUUUAUUUAUUUAUUCAGUCUUUUUAGGGCCACACUCGUGGCAUAUGGAGGUUCCCAGGCUAGGGAUCCAAUUGGAGCUACAGCUACCAGCCUACACACAGCCACAGCAACACACGAUCCGAGCCGUGUCUGCAACCUACACCACAGCCCACAGCAAUGCUGGAUCCUUAACCCACUGAAGGAGGCCAGGGAUUGAACCCGCAACCUUGUGGUUGCUAGUUGGGCUCGUUAACCACUGAGCCACUAGGGAACUCCUGUAUUAUUUUCUUAAACAGGCUUUCCAUAAUUGUGUGAAUAUUAAUACUGACAUAUUUCUGUACUAUACCUUGUUGUGGGGGAGACCUUCUUGGCUUUUUUUUUUUUUGUCUUUUUGUUAUUUCUUUGGGCCGCUCCCUUGGCAUAUGGAGGUUUCCAGGCUAGGGGUAGAAUCGGAGCUGUAGCCACUGGCCUACGCCAGAGCCACAGCAACUAGGGAUCCGAGCCGCGUCUGCAACCUACACCACAGCUCACGGCAACACCAGAUCGUUAACCCACUGAGCAGUGGCAGGGACCGAACCCGCAACCUCAUGGUUCCUAGUCGGAUUCGUUAACCACUGAACCACGACGGGAACUCCUCCUUUGGCUUUUAAAUUCAACUUUGAAUAAUUACUAGCAAAUUACGAAAACACUUGAAAAAGAAAAUGCAAUACCAAAAGUUAAAUUUAAAAGAUUUUGAUGAUUGUAUACAUCUGCAUAACCCCUGGUCUAGAUAAAAGAUCUCUCUGCCCCCCCCUGUUUUUUUUUUUUUGGUCUAAUUGGAGUUGUAGCCACCGGACUACACCAGAGCCACAGCAACAUGGGAUCCAAGCCGCAUUUGGGACCUAUACCACAGCUCACAGCAACGCCGGAUCCUUAACCCACUGAGCAAGGGCAGGGAUCAAACCCGCAACCUCAUGGUUCCUAGUUGGAUUCGUUAACCACUGAGCCACGAUAGGAACUCCCCUCUCUGCACUUUUACAACAAACUUGUCUUCCCAAGGCAACCAUGUGGUAGGCAGAAUAACAACCCUCUCCCCAACUGGUGAAUAUGAACAUACCUGUGAAAAUGUUACACGGCAAAAUGGACUUUGAGAUAAGGGAUUGUCCUGUGUUAACAUUGGUGGGCCCAAUGUAACCACAAGUCCCUAAAAAGUAGAAGAGGAAGACAGA
rnacentral:lncRNA from 1 species